UUAAGCAUCUUGCAAAGCAGAGUAACUAUCGUAUUGCUAAUAAAGAGAGCUAUCAUUUUGGUGAAAGUUAGCUAGUGGUAGGUAGUGAACAUGGGCUUCUAAUUGAUGUCUACUGGUGAUAAUCAGCCUGUAGCGGAGUUGCAUCCGUUAAUUUUGCAAGCUAUUGUUUGAUAGUUAAUGAGGUUUAUUACGUGAGUAAUAAAUGAACAAAAGGUGGUAACGCGGCACUCGUCCUUAAG
rnacentral:ncRNA from 1 species